AGCAAUAUGGUGUAUAGAGCACGAAGGUUUUUGGAGCUUUAGGAGACUUGUCAUAAGGUUUUUUGCUA
rnacentral:tRNA from 1 species